GCUCAGGAUGAACGCUAGCGGCAGGCUUAACACAUGCAAGUCGAGGGGCAGCACGGGUAGCAAUACCUGGUGGCGACCGGCGGAAGGGUGCGUAACGCGUGAGCAACAUGCCCUAUACAGGGGAAUAAACCAGGGAAACUUGGUCUAAUGCCCCAUAGCAAUAAGAUAAGGCAUCUUAUUUUAUUUAAAGCUUCGGUGGUAUAGGAUUGGCUCGCGUGACAUUAGCUGGAUGGUGGGGUAACGGCCCACCAUGGCGAUGAUGUCUAGGGGUUCUGAGAGGAAGACCCCCCACACUGGGACUGAGACACGGCCCAGACUCCUACGGGAGGCAGCAGUGAGGAAUAUUGGACAAUGGAUGGAAAUCUGAUCCAGCCAUGCCGCGUGCAGGAAGACGGCCCUAUGGGUUGUAAACUGCUUUUCUACGGGAGCAAUAAGGUCUACGCGUAGACUGAUGAGAGUACCGUAGGAAUAAGCAUCGGCUAACUCC
rnacentral:rRNA from 1 species